rnacentral:rRNA from 1 species
ACGAACGCUGGCGGCGUGGAUAAGACAUGCAAGUCGAACGAGAGAAUUGCUAGCUUGCUAAUAAUUCUCUAGUGGCGCACGGGUGAGUAACACGUGAGUAACCUGCCCCCGAGAGCGGGAUAGCCCUGGGAAACUGGGAUUAAUACCGCAUAGUAUCGAAAGAUUAAAGCAGCAAUGCGCUUGGGGAUGGGCUCGCGGCCUAUUAGUUAGUUGGUGAGGUAACGGCUCACCAAGGCGAUGACGGGUAGCCGGUCUGAGAGGAUGUCCGGCCACACUGGAACUGAGACACGGUCCAGACACCUACGGGUGGCAGCAGUCGAGAAUCAUUCACAAUGGGGGAAACCCUGAUGGUGCGACGCCGCGUGGGGGAAUGAAGGUCUUCGGAUUGUAAACCCCUGUCAUGUGGGAGCAAAUUAAAAAGAUAGUACCACAAGAGGAAGAGACGGCUAACUCUGUGCCAGCAGCCGCGGUAAUACAGAGGUCUCAAGCGUUGUUCGGAAUCACUGGGCGUAAAGCGUGCGUAGGCUGUUUCGUAAGUCGUGUGUGAAAGGCGCGGGCUCAACCCGCGGACGGCACAUGAUACUGCGAGACUAGAGUAAUGGAGGGGGAACCGGAAUUCUCGGUGUAGCAGUGAAAUGCGUAGAUAUCGAGAGGAACACUCGUGGCGAAGGCGGGUUCCUGGACAUUAACUGACGCUGAGGCACGAAGGCCAGGGGAGCGAAAGGGAUUAGAUACCCCUGUAGUCCUGGCAGUAAACGGUGCACGCUUGGUGUGCGGGGAAUCGACCCCCUGCGUGCCGGAGCUAACGCGUUAAGCGUGCCGCCUGGGGAGUACGGUCGCAAGAUUAAAACUCAAAGAAAUUGACGGGGACUCGCACAAGCGGUGGAGUAUGUGGCUUAAUUCGAUGCAACGCGAAGAACCUUACCUGGGCUUGACAUGUAAUGAACAACAUGUGAAAGCAUGCGACUCUUCGGAGGCGUUACACAGGUGCUGCAUGGCCGUCGUCAGCUCGUGUCGUGAGAUGUUUGGUUAAGUCCAGCAACGAGCGCAACCCCUGUUGCCAGUUACCAGCACGUGAAGGUGGGGACUCUGGCGAGACUGCCCAGAUCAACUGGGAGGAAGGUGGGGACGACGUCAGGUCAGUAUGGCCCUUAUGCCCAGGGCUGCACACGUACUACAAUGCCCAGUACAGAGGGGGCCGAAGCCGCGAGGCGGAGGAAAUCCUAAAAACUGGGCCCAGUUCGGACUGUAGGCUGCAACCCGCCUACACGAAGCCGGAAUCGCUAGUAAUGGCGCAUCAGCUACGGCGCCGUGAAUACGUUCCCGGGUCUUGUACACACCGCCCGUCACAUCAUGGAAGCCGGUCGCACCCGAAGUAUCUGAAGCCAACCGCAAGGAGGCAGGGUCCUAAGGUGAGACUGGUAACUGGGAUG